GACGAACGCUGGCGGCGUGCCUAAUACAUGCAAGUUGAGCGCUGAAGGUUGGUGCUUGUACCAACUGGAUGAGCAGCGAACGGGUGAGUAACGCGUGGGGAAGCUGCCUUUGAGCGGGGGACAACAUUUGGAAACGACUGCUAAUACUGCAUAAAAACUUUAAACACAAGUUUUAAGUUUGAAAGAUGCAAUUGCAGAACUCAAAGAUGAUCCCGCGUUGUAUUAGCUAGUUGGUGAGGUAAAGGCUCACCAAGGCGAUGAUACAUAGCCGACCUGAGAGGGUGAUCGGCCACCUUGGGACUGGGACACGGCCCAAACUCCUACGGGAGGCAGCAGUAGGGAAUCUUCGGCAAUGGACGAAAGGCUGACCGAGCAACGCCGCGGGAGGGAAGAAGGUUUUCGGAUCGUAAAACUCUGUUGGUAGAGAAGAACGUUGGUGAGAGUGGAAAGCUCAUCAAGUGACGGUAACUACCCAGAAAGGGACGGCUAACUACGUG
rnacentral:rRNA from 1 species